UACUCGAGUGGCGAACGGGUGAGUAACACGUGGGUGAUCUGCCCUGCACUUCGGGAUAAGCUUGGGAAACUGGGUCUAAUACCGGAUAGGAGCCAUCUUUAGUGUGGUGGUUGGAAAGUUUUUUCGGUGUAGGAUGAGCUCGCGGCCUAUCAGAUUGUUGGUGGGGUAAUGGCCUACCAAGGCGGCGACGGGUAGCCGGCCUGAGAGGGUGUACGGCCACAUUGGGACUGAGAUACGGCCCAG
rnacentral:rRNA from 1 species